GGGGAUGUCGGGUUUCGACAGACGAUCAGAUUGAAGAAUUGCAGGCCGAGGUGUCGGUACGCACUCUCGUUAAACAACCGACAAAAAAAUAGCUGCCAAAAAUACAGCUCAACCACAACUCGCUCUCGCUGCUUAAUAACCAGUGAAGCGUCGUCCGCCCGGCUUUUUCUCGUGGGGCCGGGAUCCGGGCGUCAUACACACGAGAUGCUAUGGCGAUGACCGCCUUCUAGUCGCCAUCUAAGACCAGAGGGCCAGCGCUAAGGAAUCCUGUCGGUGGGAGCCCUGAGCGAAAAGAAAAACAUCGACUAAGCUUGUAGCACAUUCUUUGAUAGGCUUGUUUGGACGGGGGGUUCAACUCCCCCCCAUCUCCACCA
rnacentral:tmRNA from 1 species